rnacentral:rRNA from 1 species
UACGAAGGGAGCUAGCGUUGUUCGGAAUCACUGGGCGUAAAGCGCACGUAGGCGGACGUGUCAGUCAGGGGUGAAAUCCCGGAGCUCAACUUCGGAACUGCCUUUGAUACAGCACGUCUUGAGUCCGGAAGAGGUGGGUGGAAUUCCUAGUGUAGAGGUGAAAUUCGUAGAUAUUAGGAAGAACACCGGUGGCGAAGGCGGCCCACUGGUCCGGUACUGACGCUGAGGUGCGAAAGCGUGGGGAGCGAACAGG